AACGAACGCUGGCGGCAUGCCUAACACAUGCAAGUCGAACGAAGAGCAGCUUGCUGCUCUUAGUGGCAAACGGGUGAGUAACGCGUGGGAAUCUACCUUUCGAUGGGGGAUAACCGGGGGAAACUUCGGCUAAUACCGCAUACGCUCAGAAAUGAGGAAAGAUUUAUCGUCGAAAGAUGAGCCCGCGUCAGAUUAGGUAGUUGGUGGGGUAAAGGCCUACCAAGCCUGUGAUCUGUAGCUGGUCUGAGAGGAUGAUCAGCCACACUGGGAUUGAGAUACGGCCCAGACUCCUACGGGAGGCAGCAGUGAGGAAUAUUGGACAAUGGGGGAAAUCCUGAUCCAGCAAUGCCGCGUGAAUGAAGAAGGCCUUUGGGUUGUAAAGUUCUUUCACUUAUGAAGAUGAUGACGGUAGUAAGAGAAGAAGGUCCGGCUAACUCUGUGCCAGCAGCCGCGGUAAGACAGAGGGACCUAGUGUUGUUCGGAAUGACUGGGCGUAAAGGGUGCGUAGGCGGUCGCUUAAGUAAGGUGUUAAAGCCCCAGGCUCAACCUGGGAAUCGCGCUUUAAACUGGGUGACUGGAGUGUGAGAGAGGAGAGUGGAAUUCCUAGUGUAGAGGUGAAAUUCGUAGAUAUUAGGAGGAAUACCAGAGGCGAAGGCGGCUCUCUGGCUCAUUACUGACGCUGAGGCACGAAAGCGUGGGGAGCGAAUAGGAUUAGAUACCCUAGUAGUCCACGCCCUAAACGAUGAGUACUAGAUGUUGGAUUUUUUUUCAGUGUCGCAGCUAACGCGUGAAGUACUCCGCCUGAGGACUACGGUCGCAAGAUUAAAACUUAAAGGAAUUGACGGGGGCCCGCACAAGCGGUGGAGCAUGUGGUUUAAUUCGACGAUCCGCGAAAAACCUUACCAGCUCUUGACAUGGGGAUUACGAGUUCCAGAGAUGGAAUUCAUCAGUUCGGCUGGGUCCUCACAGGUGCUGCAUGGCUGUCGUCAGCUCGUGUCGUGAGAUGUUGGGUUAAGUCCCGCAACGAGCGCAACCCUUAUCCUUACUUGCUAACAGGUUAUGCUGAGAACUUUAAGGAGACUGCCGGUGAUGAACCGGAGGAAGGCGAGGAUGACGUCAAGUCCUCAUGGCCCUUAUGGGCUGGGCUACACAUGUGCUACAAUGGUGGUUACAAAGGGAUGCAAUGGGGUGACCCGGAGCCAAUCCUUAAAAGCCAUCUCAGUUCGGAUUGUUCUCUGCAACUCGAGAACAUGAAGUUGGAAUCGCUAGUAAUCGUGGAUCAGCACGCCACGGUGAAUACGUUCACGGGCCUUGUACACACCGCCCGUCAAGCCAUGGGAGUUGGUUCUACCUGAAGCCGGUGCGCUAACCGUAAGGAGGCAGCCGUCCACGGUAGGGUCGAUGACUGGGGUU
rnacentral:rRNA from 1 species